rnacentral:rRNA from 1 species
GAGUUUGAUCCUGGCUCAGGACGAACGCUGGCGGCGCGCCUAACACAUGCAAGUCGAGGGAGAAGCACCCUUCGGGGUGUGGAGACCGGCGAACGGGUGAGUAACACGUGAGGAACCUGCCCUGCAGACCGGAAUAACCACGGGAAACUGUGGCUAAUGCCGGAUGUUCUCCGUGGUCCGCAUGGACCUCAGAGGAAAUGGUCAGCCGCUGCAGGAUGGCCUCGCGGCCUAUCAGCUUGUUGGUGGGGUAAAGGCCCACCAAGGCUCCGACGGGUAGCUGGCGUGAGAGCGCGACCAGCCACACUGGGACUGAGACACGGCCCAGACUCCUACGGGAGGCAGCAGUGGGGAAUCUUGCUCAAUGGGCGAAAGCCUGAAGCAGCGACGCCGCGUGCGGGAAGAAGGCCUUCGGGUUGUAAACCGCUUUCAGGAGGGAAGAAGCGAAAGUGACGGUACCUCCAGAAGAAGCCCCGGCCAACUACGUGCCAGCAGCCGCGGUAAUACGUAGGGGGCAAGCGUUGUCCGGAAUUAUUGGGCGUAAAGAGCUCGUAGGCGGUCCAUUAAGUCGGAUGUGAAAUCUCGGGGCUCAACCCUGAAAUUGCAUCCGAUACUGUUGGACUUGAGGCAGGUAGGGGAAGGUGGAAUUCCUGGUGUAGCGGUGAAAUGCGCAGAUAUCAGAGGAACGCCGGUGGCGAAGGCGGCUUCUGGGCCUGUACUGACGCUGAGGAGCGAAAGCGUGGGAGCAAACUGGAUUACAUAUCCUG